AUGCAAGUCGAGCGGAUCGAUGGGAGCUUGCUCCCUGAGAUCAGCGGCGGACGGGUGAGUAACACGUGGGUAACCUGCCUGUAAGACUGGGAUAACUCCGGGAAACCGGGGCUAAUACCGGAUAACACCUACCCCCGCAUGGGGGAAGGUUGAAAGGUGGCUUCGGCUAUCACUUACAGAUGGACCCGCGGCGCAUUAGCUAGUUGGUGAGGUAAUGGCUCACCAAGGCGACGAUGCGUAGCCGACCUGAGAGGGUGAUCGGCCACACUGGGACUGAGACACGGCCCAGACUCCUACGGGAGGCAGCAGUAGGGAAUCUUCCGCAAUGGACGAAAGUCUGACGGAGCAACGCCGCGUGAGUGAAGAAGGUUUUCGGAUCGUAAAACUCUGUUGUUAGGGAAGAACAAGUGCCGUUCGAAUAGGGCGGCGCCUUGACGGUACCUAACCAGAAAGCCACGGCUAACUACGUGCCAGCAGCCGCGGUAAUACGUAGGUGGCAAGCGUUGUCCGGAAUUAUUGGGCGUAAAGCGCGCGCAGGUGGUUUCUUAAGUCUGAUGUGAAAGCCCACGGCUCAACCGUGGAGGGUCAUUGGAAACUGGGGAACUUGAGUGCAGAAGAGGAAAGUGGAAUUCCAAGUGUAGCGGUGAAAUGCGUAGAUAUUUGGAGGAACACCAGUGGCGAAGGCGACUUUCUGGUCUGUAACUGACACUGAGGCGCGAAAGC
rnacentral:rRNA from 2 species